CAGUUUGAUUUCCUGUUUUGUUUAUAUGGGGUUUUUCAAACAGCAAAAACGGAAAACACUUUUAAAACAGGGAAGUUUGAUUUAAAAACCUCAAAAUUUGGCAGGGGAACUCCGCGGCAAGUAGAAUGUGAAAUCUUUUUAACUAAUUUUUAGCAUGGUCUAGAUUUUGUUGACAGUUGUGUCUGAGAAUGGAUCUAGGUGCUGAACUUUAAACACCCAAAUUUGAAAUUUUUGCUCUAAAAACUUUUUUUUUUUAAAUCAGUCAUGAAACCUGAUUUUUCCAAUUAUGUGACAAUGUAAUUGGUUAGAACAAUUUCUGUUAUGCUCUUUGUGUCAGAUCAGAUCACUGUACUAGUUCAGUAGAGCUUGAUUAACAAGCAUACAGAUCUGAAAAUCUAAAAAGUAGGGUGCUUGUCUACAGGAGGCUAUGUUGCAUUAACUUCAGUUUGUUCACCUAGCCUUGUGUCUAGAUGUGAACUUUUUUAAAAUUAAAUUAUUUGGCAUCUUAAAUUGCAGUAAGUCAUCCUCCCUGGAACAGGAGUAAGUCCACUUCCCAGUGGGUUUGUUCACUUUAAAGUUUGCACAGACUAAUUAAGUACUUCACUUCUGACAGUCCUCCAACUAGUAUCCCACACUGCAUUUAUUCACUCCUGGAUUGGCCUGUCUUCGUACCUUUGUGCCCUCUACUGCUCUGGGUCAUCUUGAUUGGAUUUCACUUCUCGUUUAAAUGCUGUAUCAGGUAGUGGUAGUGAGUUCCCAGGCCGAGAGUAAUGUACCCAUUAUAGCAGCCAGGGUGCUCCGGGCUUCCACAUGGAUCUCUUUUUAGAGAUUCUGGACUUGUUUGCCCUCUCUGGAGAGCUGUGUAGCAAAUGAAGGUGAAGGGGUGCUGGCCAAGUCAAAGCUAAGGCACUAUAGCAGAACUCCCUGAAGAAAAUGAAGGACAUGUUCAAGGAAUAUGUGACUGCAUCCCAAGAGAGGACUGCUAAGGCAGAAGUGUGGAGGGAUGGUUUCCUGGAUAACUCUCAAAGGUUUGUAAGUGAGCGCAUAGCCCUGUAGAUGGACAUAAUGCAGACAGUACAAACAGCUGUGAUAGAGUCGGUUUUGUUAUGAAGAUCCUGCAUUGCAUGCCAACCUUAAAAUAGCCUGCAAACUAUGGAGAAUGCACCAUACUGGGACCAUCAUUUCCAUCAUCCUAAUUACAGACCUUUCCCACAACAGUCAAUUAUAUUGGAGAUGGAGAACACUUUUGAGCACAUCGCAUACAGGAGUUUGAACACUUCAUAGUUUGGCCAUGCCUUAGUUUCAUUAGUUUUAACCUUUCACUAAGUUCUUGGUUAACUACGUACUUGGUUAACACA